CCCUCCACUUGGUUAUAAAUUAAUGAAAGUUCAGGAAUCAAAGGGAUGAAAUCUCCUCACCACAUGUCCUGGCGGUACUGUUUGGUGUAGCGGGGAGGCUCUGCUAGGGAACAUCCACAGUCAUUAAGUGCCCUCGGGGGCUACCCCUUCUCCUAUCUUACUGCCCCUGCCAAACUUGGUUAAAAUUGGCCCAUGGGAUGCAGCUUUAUGAAAAACAGGGACAAAAACAGGCAGAAAGAUUUCAUAACCGCCUUCUCUAGAAAGACAUGUUAAAAGUUAGGCAAUAGACAGCAAAGCACGUACCACCCUCCCCGGGGGUGAUGCAACAGAGCAGAGAACAAUGGCCUUGUUUAAUAGCUCUGGAGGGUGGGCCCGCCUGCAGAGGAGGGUUCCAAGCAGCCACCACUCAGCUCUAAGUCUGAAAAACUCAGGAUCCCCAACGGCCUCCUUGUCGCUCUACCUACGUGGCGCAGGAAGAAUAAUUUUUCUUAAAAGUUGCUAUCACAUCGCUCCGGACAUUGAAAGGCCCCAGUGGCUCUCUCUCACGGCUCGCGUCCGAUCAAAACCCCCGCCUGAGGGACUCCCAGACCUUCCAUCGACAGCUCCCUCAAUCCAGUGGCCCGUUUCCCCUUGGCAUCCCAGUUUGGACUCUCGGCUCUGCUUGCCGUCCGCUGCGCACUAUUCUUCCGCUUCUUCAUCAUUCACACCGGACUGCCCCUUCCCCCGAAGAAUGUACCCCUGCCUUAUUUCAAAUUUCCCAAACCAUGAGCUUCUUCUCUUUCAAAGCCACAUCAAAACUCUCACCUCCUGCAUUAGCCCUCCCUGUUUCUGCCUUUAGCCGUGCCAUCAUUGGCCGUUAUCCUCCCAUCACGCCUACUGCGUUGGGCAGUAAAUUCACUCCAGGUACCUUAGCUUGGAAUCCUGUUUUAGUUGAUAGACUAUACCUCCUCAGAAUGUCAAUUCUUCAUGGGCUCUGCCCAAAGCAGUGGCUCAGUAAAUACUGGUGGUGAUGAGGAUGAGGUUGAUGAUGAUGAUCAUGAUACCUUCUGUAGCCCAUUUCUGUGAAAAAAGGGCAGUCCGGCCCUAUGUAUGGGCAGCACAGAGGCCUUGGAAGGAAGGGUAUGAACUGAUUCUAACUGCACCUCUAGUUCACGGGGUGACUGCAAUAUGAUGUUCGGCAAGUGGCCAGGGCCACGGGAUUGAAAAACAUUUCCAAAAAAGGAUUUUGUUGAAUUUUGUUAGGUUGAUUUUCAACUGUGGUGCCUCUGUCUUGGGCUAGCUGUUCUGAGGUCCCAUUUUUAAUCAAGUUGCUUUUGACAAUUUGCUGAAACCGUACAAAAGGACAGAUAGAUUUGAGCUCAAGUAUUUUGUAUACUUCCUCUGUCUAAAGGGAGAUAUUAAAGACACCAAUGGCAGUUUUUUUACUUACUCUCCGAAACACCCCUUGAUUUUCUGCCUUUUCAUAAUUUUUGCCCCCUCUCUCUCUUUUUCUUGGACAUUCUGUCUAUUUUUCAGAUGUUUUUCUUUUAUCUCCCCUUGUUACAUAUCCUUUUCCUCUCUUCAGCAGGAUGGUGAACAGCAGAAAGUAUCAGCAGGAUCAAGGAGGGUUUGGUUAAAUUCAAGAACCAGAGAAAUGGUUUGCGGGGAAGUUGAACCUUCCUUCAGGAUGCCAACUAGAUGCACCUGCCAUGCCCUAUUUGUGAAAGCGACAGAGCCCCUGAAAGAGGAGGGCCUCAGCUCCAAGACUCAGGGUUUCACACUUGAAGAGGCUCCAUCCUGAUCUAGGCUCAAUAUAACCAGUUUGGGGAAACUAACCUGCGAAAGAAACUCAUUGAGGAAUACAUCACACCCUAAAGAUACCAGCAUUGGACUUCCAAACUCCAGAAAUACCUCCUUCUUGCCUGUGAAAGAAGACACACAUGCUACCAAAGAGAAUGAGAAGCUCCUGCAAUGGGAGCCUGAUCUACUAUUGGGUUUUUUUUAUGGUAUUUGUUAAGCACUUACUAUGUGCCAGGAAUUUAAUUAAGCAUUGGGUUAGU